rnacentral:rRNA from 1 species
CAGCCGCCGCGGUAAGACAGAGGAUGCAAGCGUUAUCCGGAAUGAUUGGGCGUAAAGCGUCUGUAGGUGGCUUUUCAAGUCCGCCGUCAAAUCCCAGGGCUCAACCCUGGACAGGCGGUGGAAACUACCAAGCUGGAGUACGGUAGGAGAGUGGAAUUCCACGUGUAGCGGUGAAAUGCGUAGAGAUGUGGAGGAACACCAGUGGCGAAGGCGACUCUCUGGUCUGUAACUGACGCUGAGGAGCGAAAGCGUGGGGAGCGAACAGGAUUAGAUACCCCUGUAGUCCCUGUCUCUUAUACAC